UGGUGUCCCUGACUUGCCUGUGCGGACUGUGUUUCCCAGAGGUAAGUGGUGUCACUGACUUGCCUGUGUGGACUGUGUUUCCCAGAGGUAAGUGGUGUCCCUGACUUGCCUGUGCAGACUGGGUUCCCCAGAGGUAAGUGGUGUCCCUGACUUGCCUGUGCGGACUGUGUUUCCCAGAGGUAAGUGGUGUCCCUGACUUGCCUGUGCAUACUGGGUUCCCCAGAGGUAAGUGGUGUCCCUGACUUGCCUGUGCGGACUGUGUUUCCCAGAGGUAAGUGGUGUCACUGACUUGCCUGUGCUGACU